rnacentral:lncRNA from 1 species
CUUCAUGAUGCUUGCUAUAAUCUAACAGGGAUAAUGAACAUGAGGAGUCUAACUUCAACUUAAUUAGCUAAACUCGUCCUGCUAUGCCAUGUGAUACUAUUGCAAACUUUCAAGAAAUCAAUGCAAUUAUGAGAUUAGUUUCAAAUCCGGGACCUCUUGCUAGCAUGCAUGUGUACUAAAAAGGCGGUGCUAUAACCAAC